GACGUAAGGGGAUGCAGUCGUUGCCGGAUUUAUUGGGCGUAAAGAGUUCGUAGGUGGUUUGUUAAGUCUGAUGUUAAAGACUGGGGCUCAACCUCGGAAAUGCAUUGGAUACUGGCAGACUUGAGUGUGGUAGAGGCAAUCGGAAUUCCAGGUGUAGCGGUGAAAUGCGUAGAUAUCUGGAAGAACACCGGUGGCGCAAGCGGAUUGCUGGGCCAUAACUGACACUGAGGAACGAAAGCUAGGGGAGCAAAUGGG
rnacentral:rRNA from 1 species